rnacentral:rRNA from 1 species
GAUGAACGCUGGCGGCGUGCCUAAUACAUGCAAGUCGAGCGAACAGACGAGGAGCUUGCUCCUCUGACGUUAGCGGCGGACGGGUGAGUAACACGUGGAUAACCUACCUAUAAGACUGGGAUAACUUCGGGAAACCGGAGCUAAUACCGGAUAAUAUAUUGAACCGCACGGUUCAAUAGUGAAAGACGGUUUUGCUGUCACUUAUAGAUGGAUCCGCGCCGCAUUAGCUAGUUGGUAAGGUAACGGCUUACCAAGGCAACGAUGCGUAGCCGACCUGAGAGGGUGAUCGGCCACACUGGAACUGAGACACGGUCCAGACUCCUACGGGAGGCAGCAGUAGGGAAUCUUCCGCAAUGGGCGAAAGCCUGACGGAGCAACGCCGCGUGAGUGAUGAAGGUCUUCGGAUCGUAAAACUCUGUUAUUAGGGAAGAAAAAAUGUGUAAGUAACUAUGCACGUCUUGACGGUACCUAAUCAGAAAGCCACGGCUAACUACGUG